CAGCCGGGCCACAACCUCCGGCCCUGCUGUGUGCUGGAACACGCGGGGACGGCCGCAUAUCCCUGCUCCAGCUGCCUCUCUCCUAGCGCUGAGCACGGCUGAUAUGCCAUGGGGUGUCCAAAGGGCUGGCCGGGGUCUGCCCUUGUCCCCCUCCUGCUGCUCGGCCUCCCGGCGCUCUCCUCAGCAGGGCUGGGGGAACUGGGCCCCACCAUCGACGGGCAGCCGUGGACAGUGUGUACGCUGCAGGAGGGGGAGAGCCGUGCCUUCACCUGCCGGGUCCCCCAGCCAGUGCCCGGUGCCACACUGGCCUGGUACCUCAACGGCCAGAGGCAGGAAGCCAACCUCUCAGCUGCAGGCACUGCCAGCACCCUCACCCUCACUGCCCGGCGCUCUGACCACCAACUCAACUGCUCCCUGACCGACCCAGCCUCAGGGGAGACCUACAAUGCCUCUGUCCUCCUCAACGUGCAGUAUAAGCCAGAGAUCCUGAGGGCAGGUGCCCACUACCAGGAGGUCGAGGGUUCUGGCCUCCUCCUGGUGCUCUUUGUGCUGGUGCAAGCCAACCCACCUGCCAGCAUCACCUGGGUGGACCAGGAUGGGCAUGUGAUGGCCAAUGCCUCCGAGUUCCUCCUCCUGGGUGCCACGCACUACCCAGGGCUGGCCAACCACUCGCUCCACAUCCAUCUCAGCAGCGUGGCUGGGAACUUCUCCGUCAGUGCUGCCAACAGCGUGGGCAUCACCACCACCUCACUCCUACCCACAGGUCUGCUGGAUGCCCACGUGGAGCUGCCCCUCCUGGGUGUUGCCGUCGGAGCAGCACUGGCCCUGGCCACCCUGCUCAGCCUGGGCUCCUGUGCUGCCUGCCUGGCGUGCCGCUCACCCAAGCCAGUGCCAGGCCCAGGGCGAGCAGAAGGGAGCAGCCCGCCCAGCCAGUGCUCCCGUUGCAGUGGCUCCGAGCACCCACAGCCCCAGGGCACACGCCUGCCCCGCCAGACCCGGUCCCUGCCGCCUGACCUGCACCUCAGUGACCUCGCACAGGAGGAUGGAGCUUCCCCCAAGGAUGUGGGAGCUGGUGCCAGGGGAGAAGAUAGUGCCCUGCCAGGGCUGGAGAAUCACCUUGUCCUCAACAAGCUCGGUGAGGAGGUACAGGUUUUGUUCAGCUCCCAAUGUCUGGGCGCAUCUACAAAGUGCCCAGUGUAAGCAGUGAUGAGAUCUGGCUGUGAGUCCCGGUGCCCAUGAGCCAGGUGCCCAGCCCCAGCGUGUGCUCGAGAAACCUCUGCUCUGCAGCACCUACAGCACAGGGAGCCUGACACUUUGAAAGGCUGGUUUAAUGCUGAACUCCUUGGGAACAAGUCAAAAACAGCCAUUAGGCGGCUUCUGCAACAAAAACGAUGAGUCAAGUCCUACUCUCCAAACACAGAACAGCCUAGCAAUGUCUCCAAGACCAAGGAGGCUUUUGAUGUGCUGUGUGACAUUUCACAGCCUGCUCUGGGCACACCUUAGUGUCCAGCAGCAGACAGUGAUCCAGGAGAUGAGGGUUUAAUGUGAAGCUUCAGGUAAAGCUCACCACCUCUGCCUCUGCCGCUUGUGAGGGUGGGUUGGAUGGUGGGCUCCUGCCUUUCUGCCCAUCAGCCAGGGGCUUGAAGUGCUGCAGGGAAAAGAAUGUGCUCAUGCAAAUAUCCGACUCCUGUUGCUCAGAGUACAUGCAUCUGAACACACUGGCCACAUCAGCUGUGUGUGAGCUGUGUGCUCAGCAGUGCCCCGAGGAAACAUGCUCUGGCUCGUGCUGGCCUGUUGAACAAUGUAGCGCCCCAGCUUGGCAGCGCAGCCGAGCUCCCUGUGUCAGGCAGAGGCACCAGGGACAGGAGCAGCUGAGAAUAUGUUCCCAGGGCCCACCAGCCCUUUGCACACACCCACUGCUCCAGAAAGCCAAACAGGACCUGGGCAAUGCUGCCAGCUGGGUGAGCAGCACCUGGCUGGAGCUGCCUACCUGCGAGUUCUUGAACUCCGAGAAGAGGGAGAAGAGGACAUGCAGAGGCUGGAUCCGGCUCUUGUACACGGGGAUGUCCAGAAUGGCUAUGGGCAAGAGCAGUAGCGUGUGAGGGCACCUGGGCUUGCACCCUUGUCAGGAAGAGCUGAGCUCCCCACUGCCCACCAUCCCUUGGGCUUCUGUGCACCAAAGACUGCAGUCCCCUGCAGUACAAGAGCCAUUUCCCACUGAGGCAGCAGCCUCCAGCUAAAGCCCUCUGGCUUUCAGUGAGAGCGCCAGGCAGCAGCAAAUUGUGUCCCCAGCACAGCCUCCCCAGCUCACCGCAGAUCAUGUCGAUGUAUUCAGCGAGGUCACAGCUCGUCUCCGCGGUUGGGAGGCCCACCUGGAACAGACGGGGCCAUCAGCUCUGCUCCUGGAUUGCAGGAGCCCGGGAGCACAAGCAGGCCACUGGGGCAGCAGCUGGGAAUUCCAGCAUUGGGCUGCGCUCCGACUUCUGGCAAGGGGGAAGUGGUGAGGAGGAACAAAUCUGAGCAGGCUGAGCUGUGGGAUGGAGCAGGCACCUGGCUUUCACGGCAGAUGGUUUCUAAGUCCAUGCAUUGAGCUAAUUACGGAUCACUCAGACAACAUACCUUUCCCAAGAGCUCCUCAAAUUCCGGUGACCAUUCCUGCAUCAGGGUCUCAAUGUCAGGCAUUGGCCUGCCAGGGAAGAGAAAAACAAACUUUAGGGUCACACACAACCUUCCACUGCCAGACUGCGGUGAGCUGACGUCAGGGAUCACCUGGAGUAAUGGACUGUGGCAGGAGGUUUGCAGCGGUGCAGUUCACUGAUACUUUCAAUCCAGCUGUCAAUGGCUUUGGGGUUCUUCUCUGCAUUCUCCAAACUCUUCACUUUUAUCUGCUGCUAAAAACACAAAUAUAAACCUGGAAGUGUUUCGUGGUGUUUUGAGGCUUUUUGGGGACCCUGUGUUUGCUCCUGAUGAACCAGGGCUUCUCUCUUUCCCAGCUGCACUUUAUCAACGGAUUUCUGCAGGCAAAAUGCCAACUAAAACCAGGUAUGGACAACCAAAAAGGAAAUAAAGCAUCACCCGAAGGGAACAGACUCAAAGUCUGUACCAAAAUUUGCAUUUUGGUUGCAGUUUAAAGCUAUGGAUUAAAGCAAAAGGUUCAUUUUUGCUACUUUUACAGUCAAGUUCUCAGUUGUACCACAACACUGGAGUCACAGAGACAAAAGUAAGAGUAAAAUGCCAUGGUUUCACUCCAAGCAGUGUGCAGCAAGUGCAACCUCCCUCUCCCUGACUCACUGUGAUGUUGUGCUGCUUGGAGUUCUCUGUCAGCCAAAGAGAGAGCACGGUGGGAUCUGACUGCUUGGUCGAGGGCUCAUCCAGGACCAGCAGGCCAAGGUUGUCAGGCUUCCAGUCAGGACGGGGAACCUGCAGGAGAACAGAGCCCUCUCUGCGGAGUCCAGGGCAGGUUUGUACAGAGCCUUUCCAUGAGCUCCCUCGGAUGUGUGUACUCAGUACAGUGCUGCCCGAACAGCACGUGGUGUUGGAGAAGGGAAAACCCAGCCCUUACUCCAAGUCACCUAAGUGCUGUGUGAGAGGUGACCGAGCCACCGGGUCUACCUUUCCAGGUCUCUGCCCAUUAUGUCCCAGAGCGAGAGCACAGCAACAGACCGGCCCCUGCCAUGGCCACUGCCCCGUGGGGCAGGGCCGGGACAGGAACCUGAAGAAACUGUACCUUUAGGAAUGCAUCAAUAUCCCCAACAGCAGGAAUAAAGUCUGGAAUAAAAGGCUGCAGCUUGUGCUCAAUCUCUACUGUUUUGGGAGUGUACCUGCAAAAAACCACCACCACAGCAUCUGUGACCAGGAACUGUGCUGCAGUAAUUGACACAAAAGAGAGCCAAGAGCAGGCCAAAACCCUUCCACUCACCUCUUGAUGUAUUCAAACAGGUCUUUGAUUUCAGAAGACACUUGCAGGUAGUCAAAAUCUGCUGGAUUGAAGUCACUAAAGAAAGGAAGAGAGUCAUGGGCAAAGAUUAAUGUGUGGCAGGUUCUACUGGGCCCUGUUUUGCCUUGGACCUGCUGGCCAAGAAAAGUACUUGAGUGAGGGAUAGUUGUGAUCAUAUAGCUCCACAAAGAGUUGUCAGAAAGGGGCUAAGUGCUCUGCACAAAGGAAGACGUUGGGACAGCAAUGACGUGGUCAGCAAUGGCUUUGGAGCUGAAAACGUUGGAAAAAGAGAAGGAUUAUCAGGAGCUGAGUGACGUGUUUGAGAUGGUCCUUCCCAAGGCUGGCUGACACUUUGGGUUGUUCCAGCCCUGCCUCUCCUGGGCACCGCACCUGGGGCUGGUUCAUCACCUGGAGGAACCAUCGCCCUGGAGCACUGGGGACGAGCUGCCUGUCUCGAUGCCCAUGAUCCUGCUCACCCUCGCGGGAUUAGGGAUCAGGGGAUCAGCAGAGAGUCCCGUACGGCCCCCACCAGCCCCGGCCCCAGCUCGUCCAGCCGGUAAUGCCGCUCACCCC